rnacentral:rRNA from 1 species
UACGUAGGGUGCAAGCGUUUGUCCGGAAUUAUUGGGCGUAAAGAGCUCGUAGGCGGUCUGUUGCGUCCGCUGUGAAAACUCGGGGCUUAACCCCGAGCCUGCAGUGGAUACGGGGCAGACUAGAGGUAGGUAGGGGAGAAUGGAAUUCCCGGUGUAGCGGUGAAAUGCGCAGAUAUCGGGAGGAACACCGGUGGCGAAGGCGGUUCUCUGGGCCUUACCUGACGCUGAGGAGCGAAAGCGUGGGGAGCGAACAGG